CUAGAAGCAAAGAUGUCUGUAUAAAAAGAAGCGUUCGUUGGAGCAGUUCAGGCAAUACCAGACAGGGAAGCGAGGACGUCAACAACAACUGCUUGAUUCACCUGAACGACGUUCACGGCCGAAAAGUGGAAAUCCACACACAGAACCUGCAACGACAAGAGCGUAACGAAGUGUGAAAACACAGUAUCGUACCACCGAUCAAAGCAAUCUUCACCAGAAUGGUUUCCUUGAGGGUUCUCGUCUUGAGCUCAGUGCUGAGCCUCAGUCUUGUUCUCGCCACAGUGUCAGGCGCCGGUACCUCGACAAACGCAGAUUUUUUCACUACGUUUAACAAGGAGCUCCAACACAAAGUGUCACCAGCAUGUUACAAAGGCGUGGUCUCAGUGGAAAAUUCGAAACAAGUACCCAACGACCAGGCAAAAGCUUGUGAGCUUAUCAAGACACCCGAUGGGAAAGCGGUAGUCACGAGUGUGGGUUGUAACGAGAAGGAGUACGGUAUCGUCAAGACACUUGCGUGCAGUAGUCCAGCUGCCUUGACCGGAAGUAUCAUUAUGCUAGUCAUCCUGACUGUCUUUCACCGCGUGCUUUGAGAGUCUGGAUGUUUGAUUCUGACCUCGUGAUAACUCUGAUACAAACAUCCAAAGGCUAUAUUUCAACAAACAUUUUUUUCCAUAUCUGCAUCACGUGAUAACGCUGGAACAAUCAACCGACAACUUUUUCAACAAAUACUUUUUCAAUAUUUUCAACAUAAAGCCACUUUUUUCAGUGCGCGAUAAAUUACUUUUUUCUGCUUUAAGUGUCUCUAUCUUGUUUGAAUAAGGUACAGAGGCCAUGAAAUCUCAACACGCUCACAUUACAAAAAAACCCCAAACAGAAUCAACCGGCCUGCUAUUGUUGCCACUCCUCUUUAAAACAAAAAUUGAGCAACGAACUUUACAUCCAAUAAACUGUUGCACAAUCAGUGGCGACACUCAAAUCACUCUUGUAAUUCGAAUACAA